UACAGAGGUCUCAAGCGUUGUUCGGAUUCAUUGGGCGUAAAGGGUGCGUAGGCGGCGCGGUAAGUCGGGUGUGAAAUCCCUCGGCUCAACCGAGGAACUGCGCCCUAAACUACUGUGCUCGAGGGAGAUAGAGGUGAGCGGAACUUAGGGUGGAGCGGUGAAAUGCGUUGAUAUCCUAAGGAACACCGGUGGCGAAAGCGGCUCACUGGAUCUCUUCUGACGCUGAGGCACGAAAGCUAGGGUAGCGAACGGG
rnacentral:rRNA from 1 species